CAAAAAAAACAAAAAAAAAAAAUUUUUUUUUUUUUUUUUUUUUUGACAACUUUUUUAACUUUACCCAUGAAACGUUUUAA
rnacentral:ribozyme from 15 species